AGGCUCCUAGCAGGGUGAAGAAGCCCCAGCACCUGGGACAAUUCAGUACUGCAAGCAGGGACUGGCUGGGGGAGCUAGAGAGAGCUCCUGGUGGGCUGCUAAGACCUCAGGUUGAGGCCCUGAGCUGUCAAGAGUCUUUAAAGGAAAAACACCCCUUGUUUGGCAUCCAGGAUGGUAUCAAAAAAGACAAUAAUUGUCCUUUCUUGGGAAAAGGGAAGACAUUAUUUGAGGUAUCUGAUACAUGAAGAGGAAGCCAUGUUUAUUUGAACUAUUUCCUCUUGUGUAACCCAGAGUGUUGGAAUCAGGCUCUGAAACUAUGGUGCAUGGAGCAAACAAGGUCCAAGAAGAGCUGGCUUGUCAAUAAGUGCAUGAUUCCACCAGGUAAACCACACGAAAAGAAGCUACAAGUACAUACAUCACUAAUGAUGCUUUUCCAUGCAAGCAAUUGCUGCAGUAGCCACAGGGACUUUACCCCAAUUCUGGGCCUACAUUAGGAAAGUAGGGUGAGAUGAUCCAGGUGUGUGGGAAUAGAAAUAGGAAAUCUAUGGGGCAGCAAAAGCUCAUGGAAUCCUUGCAACAGAGAGGGAGUGUGGCCUACUGGAAAGAACACUGCAGUAGGACUCAGGAGACCUUAGUUCUAUUCCCAACCCUGCCACUAAUCUCCGAUGUGAACCUGGGCAAGUCACUUCAGUUCUCUAUGCUUCUUUCUCCCCUCCAAUGCUUUGUUUGUUUGUCUGACCUAUUUAGAUAUUAAGCUUUCUGGUGCAAUGAAAGUCCCUUGCUAUGUGUUUGCACAGUGGGGACUGAUCUUGAGUGCAGCCUUCAGGCUCUACUGAGGAUGGAAAGCACUGAUUGUGUCUGCAAGAUGAUCUUUCUCUGUUAAGAUGCACUUCCCAUGAGGAUG